rnacentral:rRNA from 1 species
UGAACGCUAGCUACAGGCUUAACACAUGCAAGUCGAGGGAACGACAUCGAAAGCUUGCUUUUGAUGGGCGUCGACCGGCGCACGGGUGAGUAACGCGUACUCCAACCUGCCCACCACUUGGGGAUAACCUUGCGAAAGUAAGACUAAUACCCAAUGACGUCUCUAGAAGACAUCUGAAAGAGAUUAAAGAUUUAUCGGUGAUGGCUGGGGGAUGCGUCCCAUUAGGUAGUAGGCGGGGUAACGGCCACCUAGCCGACGAUGGGUAGGGGUUCUGAGAGGAAGGUCCCCCACAUUGGAACUGAGACACGGUCCAAACUCCUACGGGAGGCAGCAGUGAGGAAUAUUGGUCAAUGGGCGAGAGCCUGAACCAGCCAAGUAGCGUGUGGGACGAAUGCCCUAUGGGUUGUAAACCACUUUUGCAGGAGGGUAAAAUGCUUCACGUGUGGAGUAUUGCAAGUAUCCUGCGAAUAAGGACCGGCUAAUUCCGUG